rnacentral:tRNA from 1 species
GUCCUGAUGGCCUAAUGGAUAAGGCACUAGCCUCAUAAGCCAGAGAUUGUAGGUUCGAGCCCCACCUGGGAAA